CAAUUUUAGCAAGUCCAUCUGUGAAAAUUUCAGCUUCUCGUUCAUUCAAUUCCUCUCCUAAAAAGUCUCCAGUGCACUCCCUCCUCACGAGCUCAGCCGAGGAGUCGGUGGGCUCCACACCGCAGUACCGGUCUGCCAAGCCUGUUCAUUCAUCCAACUCGGCAAAAGAAACAACAGGAAAAACAUGCCGAAAACUGCAGAACAGACUGGAAAGUUUGCAAACCCUGGUAGAAGACUUACAGCUGAAGAACCAAGCAAUGUCUUCAAUGAUCAGAAAUCAAGAGAAGAGAAUUCAGAAAGUGAAAGACCAGGAAAAGAUGUUACUGAAAUGAUGAGUUGCUUGCCUGCUGUCUACAAAGAGCUGACAUACGAUUGAUCGUGGUGUUCUUUAUAAUUAGUGCCCUGCAAACUUUUUUCUUUUUAUGUGAAAUUUAAUAAAAGAUACCCUGUCCUGU
rnacentral:lncRNA from 1 species